AGGUGAACCUGCGGAGGGAUCAUUAAUGAAUGGCCAUCUGUGGCCUUCGACCCUUCAAAACCGUGGAGGUAGAGUGUGCUUCGGCGCUCCGGCGCCGCCUUUAUGCUGUAGAGUCUGUGUCUGAAUCAAAAACAUAGUCUAAAACUUUCAACAAAGGAUCUCUUGGCUCUCG
rnacentral:misc_RNA from 1 species